rnacentral:rRNA from 1 species
AACGAACGCUGGCGGCAGGCCUAACACAUGCAAGUCGAACGCCGUAGCAAUACGGAGUGGCAGACGGGUGAGUAACGCGUGGGAACAUACCCCUCGGUUCGGAAUAACUCAGGGAAACUUGAGCUAAUACCGGAUACGUCCGAGGUUUUAAUCGGCCUUGGAGAAAGAUUUAUCGCCGGAGGAUUGGCCCGCGUCUGAUUAGCUUGUUGGUGAGGUAAUGGCUCACCAAGGCGACGAUCAGUAGCUGGUCUGAGAGGAUGAUCAGCCACAUUGGGACUGAGACACGGCCC